ACACCGGCAGCUCAAGCGGUAGCCGCUUUUAUUGGGCCUAAAGCGUCCGUAGCCGGUCUGAUAAGUCUCUGGUGAAAUCCCACAGCUUAACUGUGGGAAUUGCUGGAGAUACUAUCAUGACUCGAGGUCGGGAGAGGCUGGAGGUACUCCCAGGGUAGGGGUGAAAUCCUGUAAUCCUGGGAGGACCACCUGUGGCGAAGGCGUCCAGCUGGAACGAACCUGACGGUGAGGAGCGAAAGCCAGGGGCGCGAACCGGAUUAGAUACCCGGGUAGUCCUGGCCGUAAACGAUGUGGACUUGGUGUCGGGAUGGCUUCGAGCUGCCCCAGUGCCGAAGGGAAGCUGUUAAGUCCACCGCCUGGGAAGUACGGCCGCAAGGCUGAAACUCAAAUGAAUUGGCGGGG
rnacentral:rRNA from 1 species